CUCUUAGGUUGUCCCUUCGGACAGGCAUCUCCUGGUUUUACUGAUGUAAGAAGCUGUGGCCAUCUUUGCAAAAUCCUGUCUCCUUUUGCUCCUGACUGGACUGCCUGCACGGACUCUGGACCUGGAUCAUCACUUUACCUUGUCUGGAACUGCCAGGGGCCCCUGUUUCACGAGUAUGAGGAAUUUCUGUGACUAAGACACUGUCUGCAUUUGGCUCCUUUGGUGGUUAGACUCUUGACCAGCUGGAAAAUCUACAGAGUGAUGACAUCGUGAUCAGAGAUGUGGCAUUGCUGAAGGCUGAGCUGCAACAGACAGUGGGGAAAAGUUGAUUGACGGGUUUUUCUUGAAGUUGGGGAGAGUUUGCUUUUCGUGGCUUGCAGUAAGGGUACACAUAUAUUCUGUGAAAGACUGUAUGGUUGCAGGUUAUGUAAACACAAAUGGGAUCUUAUUAAGUAACUGAUGUGCAUGGCUGUGGCAUCACAGAACGCAACUCAAGAUAUGAAAUUCAAAUAAAGCUACCCAUGAACCUCAA